rnacentral:rRNA from 1 species
CCUAAUACAUGCAAGUCGAACGCAUUGUGUUGAAAUGAUAUGAAGAACUUGUUCAGAUUUGAUUUCAACAUUGCAAUGAGUGGCGAACGGGUGAGUAACACGUGGGAAACCUACCUCUUAGCAGGGGAUAACAUUUGGAAACAAUACUAAUACCGUAUAAUAAUUAAAACCGCAUGGUUUUAGUUUAAAGAUGGUCUUGCUAUCACUAAGAGAUGGUCCCGCGGUGUAUUAGUUAGUUGGUGAGGUAAUGGCUCACCAAGACAAUGAUACAUAGCCGAGUUGAGAGACUGACCGGCCACAAUGGGACUGAGACACGGCCCAUACUCCUACGGGAGGCAGCAGUAGGGAAUCUUCCACAAUGGACGAAAGUCUGAUGGAGCAACGCCGCGUGUGUGAUGAAGGGUUUCGGCUCGUAAAACACUGUUGUAAGAGAAGAAUGACAUUGAGAGUAACUGUUCAAUGUGUGACGGUAUCUUACCAGAAAGGAACGGCUAAAUACGUG